GUUAAACUAAUUUUGAGGUUAAAUCAAUCGCUCCUCGCUUUGUCUGAGGAACCCUCUGUUUCUUUUUUUGCUUUGUCCAAAGACAUGCAGCCUCUUGCCCAAUGACAGCUGGGAUUUGUUCCAGCCUCCUGUGACCCUAAAAGAAUAAGCAACUAUGGCAAAAUGGAUGGAUGGAUCUCAACCUCUCCAAUAUGACGAAAGAACAGAUACAUCAGUGGCCAAUGAGGUAUGGCUCCCUUACAGUCAAGAUGGUGGUGAAGAGAACAGAAACAGGUCAACAACUAUGUAAAUCUUGGCGAACGGAUCCAUCAGUGGUUCUUGCACAACCCUGGUCGUCUCCUUGGUUUCUGCACGCAAAGCUUUACAUCUGCUCAUGUCCUGCCCAUUGUGUUCCUCUGCUGCUUGUGUGUGUGGGACGGAGAAAUGGAGCGACAGACGGAGAGAAUGGACAGACGUCACUGUCAGUCGAUGUAGGAGCUCUCAGACACUCACACACUUUCAUUCAGCUCAUCACAAACGCCCCGCUGUCUUCAUCUGUCUGGGUGCCGCCGUGUUAGCAGUGGGCGUGUGACGUUACAGUGGAGUAGGAUUCCAUUGUUUGCUUUUUGACGUGCGUCCGCCCUCAGUGUGUGUGUGUGUGUGUCACCGCGUGUAUGUGUGCAAUUGUGAGGGGAUGUAUUCGUAUGUGUGGUUUUGCACAGCGCAGAAGUGAAACCAGUGUAGCCUGACAGCGCCGUCCUCUCUCUUUCAACCAUAGUUUGAAAUUCAGCGAUCGAAACAGCUCCUUGUCACGUACAGC